rnacentral:rRNA from 1 species
AGUGAACGCUGGCGGUAGGCCUAACACAUGCAAGUCGAACGGCAGCACAGUAAGAGCUUGCUCUUACGGGUGGCGAGUGGCGGACGGGUGAGGAAUACAUCGGAAUCUACUUUUUCGUGGGGGAUAACGUAGGGAAACUUACGCUAAUACCGCAUACGACCUACGGGUGAAAGCAGUGGAUCUUCGGACCUUGCGCGAUUGAAUGAGCCGAUGUCGGAUUAGCUAGUUGGCGGGGUAAAGGCCCACCAAGGCGACGAUCCGUAGCUGGUCUGAGAGGAUGAUCGGCCACACUGGAACGGAGACACGGUCCAGACUCCUACGGGAGGCAGCAGUGGGGAAUAUUGCACAAUGGGCGAAAGCCUGACGGAGCAAUGCCGCGGGAGUGAUGAAGGCCUUCGGAUCGUAAAACUCUUUUAUUGGGAAAGAAAAAAUGUGGAAGUAACCCUGCACGUCUUGACGGUACCUAAAAAGAAAGCCCCGGCUAACUACGUG